rnacentral:piRNA from 1 species
UGCCAGUUUGUACCCAAGACAUGAUUUCUC